rnacentral:lncRNA from 1 species
UUGGCUUUGGGGAGGUUGUUAUGUGAGGCUGCUGAAGUAGUUUCUCCUAUCUAGAUGCUUCCUGAUGCAGUUGAGAGAAUGGAUGUGAUGUCUUCACUUGUUCUACUCUUGCGGAAGAAGAAACUUUUGUCAUGCUUUAGUGGUUCCAUUGUGAGACUAUUUUUACUGCUUUAAUGAGUACCUUCCGGAAUCAAUCAAUGUUAUUAUGGCAGCUAGAAUAUCAUAUGUUGAGUUUUGUCAAUGAUGUUUUGAGCGUUUCUUAUAUAUUGUUAGUUGCUGCAUUUGCUUUGCUGUCUUGUCUCUUAAAGCAGUUGAUUGCAGCUGGGUUAUUUCAUCAUUAGGUCCAUUGAAUUCAGUUAUCUUAAUGAGAAUUGCAUUAUUUGAUCUGAACCAA